GACGAACGCUGGCGGCGUGCUUAACACAUGCAAGUCGAACGGUAAGGCUCCAGCUUGCUGGGGUACACGAGUGGCGAACGGGUGAGUAACACGUGGGUGACCUGCCCUGCACUUCGGGGUAAGCCUGGGAAACUGGGUCUAAUACCGGAUAGGACCGCACCGUGAGGGUGUGGUGGAAAGUUUUUUCGGUGUGGGAUGGGCCCGCGGCCUAUCAGCUUGUUGGUGGGGUAAUGGCCUACCAAGGCGGCGACGGGUAGCCGGCCUGAGAGGGUGGACGGCCACAUUGGGACUGAGACACGGCCCAGACUCCUACGGGAGGCAGCAGUGGGGAAUAUUGCACAAUGGGCGGAAGCCUGAUGCAGCGACGCCGCGUGGGGGAUGACGGCCUUCGGGUUGUAAACUCCUUUCACCAUCGACGAAGGGUUUCUGACGGUAGAUGGAGAAGAAGCACCGGCUAACUACGUGCCAGCAGCCGCGGUAAUACGUAGGGUGCGAGCGUUGUCCGGAAUUACUGGGCGUAAAGAGCUCGUAGGUGGUUUGUCGCGUCGUCUGUGAAAUUCCGGGGCUUAACUCCGGGCGUGCAGGCGAUACGGGCAUAACUUGAGUACUGUAGGGGAGACUGGAAUUCCUGGUGUAGCGGUGAAAUGCGCAGAUAUCAGGAGGAACACCGGUGGCGAAGGCAGGUCUCUGGGCAGUAACUGACGCUGAGGAGCGAAAGCAUGGGGAGCGAACAGGAUUAGAUACCCUGGUAGUCCAUGCCGUAAACGGUGGGCGCUAGGUGUGGGUUUCCUUCCACGGGAUCCGUGCCGUAGCUAACGCAUUAAGCGCCCCGCCUGGGGAGUACGGCCGCAAGGCUAAAACUCAAAGGAAUUGACGGGGGCCCGCACAAGCGGCGGAGCAUGUGGAUUAAUUCGAUGCAACGCGAAGAACCUUACCUGGGCUUGACAUAUACAGGAUCGCGCCAGAGAUGGUGUUUCCCUUGUGGCUUGUAUACAGGUGGUGCAUGGUUGUCGUCAGCUCGUGUCGUGAGAUGUUGGGUUAAGUCCCGCAACGAGCGCAACCCUUGUCUUAUGUUGCCAGCACGUUGUGGUGGGGACUCGUAAGAAACUGCCGGGGUUAACUCGGAGGAAGGUGGGGAUGACGUCAAAUCAUCAUGCCCCUUAUGUCCAGGGCUUCACACAUGCUACAAUGGUCGGUACAGUGGGUUGCCAGUCCGUGAGGGCGAGCUAAUCCCGCAAAGCCGGUCUCAGUUCGGAUCGGGGUCUGCAACUCGACCCCGUGAAGUCGGAGUCGCUAGUAAUCGCAGAUCAGCAACGCUGCGGUGAAUACGUUCCCGGGCCU
rnacentral:rRNA from 1 species